UUUACCUCCCAAAGGUUAUUGUACUUCAUGCUCGAUGGCCCUUCCUGUAAGAGAGAUCGUCACCAAGAGGGCUGGAAGAUGCAGGAAACCACCUCGUGGGAAAUCACUACAGCCUGACAACCUUAGGUGUGUCACAUGGUGUCAUCUGAAGAGAAUGCAUGGAGUGUUAGCACGCUGUCUCAUUUUGUCAUCAUCAGAUUAUCAUUCCAGAGGACUCCAGAGGCCGGCGUUCUUUGCUUUACCAUAGAAGAAACUUCAGGCUUUAUAAGACUUUUUGGAAAAUGUAACUACAGGUAACAAACGUUCUCAAUGAAGAAGAGGGAAGCAAAGGACAAAAUUCUGUCUUAAAAGCCAUCAAAAUGACCUGCUGAAUGCUGAGUUUAGAACAGUCACUUUUGCCUCUAUCCUGGAGCUCCAUUCGGAGGCCUGCUUACCCAACACUUCAGAAGCCAGAAGAGAGAGAAGACGCUGUUGAGAGCAGAGCGAAGCGGUUCUUGGAGAAAGUGGUGUGAACACCUGGCAGUUAUUGUGGCUACUGCUCCACACUCUGCAUCUAUAGACACUCUUUCUGCCAUGCUCCCUGGUCUUGAGCCAUCACAGACAACUCCCUCUGCAGCAGCUCUGGGGUACUGAGAUAGACAGAUAGACAGAUGGACAGACAGACAGAUGGACAGACAGACAGACACUGAAUAUGUUAGUAUGCACACCUGGCCUUUUCACAUGCCUGCAUUAGUUUAGCAUGCCACAGAUUGUGUACUGUCAGGCCCAUGAGUAAGAGGGUACGGUUACCCAAAAAUGUACUAUUUGCUUCAUGGCCCCUUAUUUUAUCAUUAAUACAAUAAGCACCCUACAUAAUACUUCAUGCUUUUUAUUUCAGAAGUUAAAUAAAAAAUAAGCUAUGUGAAUGCAAAA